rnacentral:lncRNA from 1 species
AAUUAAAAAUCAUGAUUUGUUGUAGAGAGCACAAGAGUAUUCUAUGCAGAGAGAAUAAUACGAAUGCUGAUGAUUAACAUAGGAGAAAAUUUGUAAAAUAAUUUGGUGAUCUUGUAAGUUGUACUACUAAUACGUUAUUUUUAAUAAUUAUAGAAAUAAUUAUUUGAACCAACAUAAUUUUUUAUGUUAUGGUGUAGAUGAAAUAUAAGUAUUUCAAUAAAGAAAGGAGUGCGACCAAUGAGUUAUACGAUUUAGCAUAUGAUCC